rnacentral:rRNA from 1 species
UGGGGAAUUUUGGACAAUGGGGGAAACCCUGAUCCAGCCAUCCCGCGUGUGCGAUGAAGGCCUUCGGGUUGUAAAGCACUUUUGGCAGGAAAGAAACGUCAUGGGUUAAUACCCCGUGAAACUGACGGUACCUGCAGAAUAAGCACCGGCUAACUACGUGCCAGCAGUCGCGGUAAUACGUAGGGUGCAAGCGUUAAUCGGAAUUACUGGGCGUAAAGCGUGCGCAGGCGGUUCGGAAAGAAAGAUGUGAAAUCCCAGAGCUCAACUUUGGAACUGCAUUUUUAACUACCGGGCUAGAGGGUGUCAGAGGGAGGUGGAAUUCCGCGUGUAGCAGUGAAAUGCGUAGAUAUGCGGAGGAACACCGAUGGCGAAGGCAGCCUCCUGGGAUAACACUGACGCUCAUGCACGAAAGCGUGGGGAGCAAACAGG